CGUAGGUGGCAAAGCGUUGUCCGGAUUUAUUGGGCGGUAAAAGACGAGCGCAGGCGGUUCCUUAAGUCUGAUGUGAAAGCCCCCGGCCUCAACCGGGGGAGGGUCAUUGGAAAACUGGGGAACUUGAGUGCAGAAGAGGAGAGUGGAAUUCCAUGUGUAGCGGUGAAAUGCGUAGAUAUAUGGAGGAACACCAGUGGCGAAGGCGACUCUCUGGUCUGUAACUGACGCUGAGGCUCGAAAGCGUGGGUAGCAAACAGGAUU
rnacentral:rRNA from 1 species